rnacentral:rRNA from 1 species
AUUGAACGCUGGCGGCAGGCCUAACACAUGCAAGUCGAACGAGUGGCGGACGGGUGAGUAAUGUCUGGGAAACUGCCUGAUGGAGGGGGAUAACUACUGGAAACGGUAGCUAAUACCGCAUACCAUCAGAUGUGCCCUGAUGGGAUGAGCUUGUUGGUGGGGUAACGGCUCACCAGGGCAACGCUCCCUAGCUGGUCUGAGAGGAGGACCGGCCACACUGGAACGGAGACACGGCCCAGACUCCUACGGGAGGCAGCAGUGGGGAAUAUUGCACAAUGGGCGAAAGCCUGAUGCAGCCAUGCCGCGUGGAGGAAGAAGGUCUUCGGGUUGUAAAGUACUUUCAGCGGGGAGGCGUUACCUGCACAGGAAGCACCGGCUAACUCCGUGCCAGCAGCCGCGGUAAUUC